CAUGGAUCUCUCCUCAUGGCAGCUGUAGGAAACACAGGAACUCCGUGACCUGGAAAAUGUGGGACAACUGCCACAAGGUGACCCUGGAAGGCUGGGGUUGAGUACCAGUAGAAACCUCAUAUUUACCUGGAAGAUUACUUUUAGGAAGCUUGAAGAAUUCUCUCUUCCAACUUGGUUAACUUAUGUCCAGAAAAAAAAAGAACAAAAUCCCCAAAAGUGUUUAAAUCAAUACUGCUUGAAAAGUGCCUGUGCGAGACACUACAUUGUCAUGUAUCCAUGAAAGAAACCAACGUCUCUUGUGGGAAUUCUGCUAAUUUAAAAAUUAGCACAG
rnacentral:lncRNA from 1 species